rnacentral:tRNA from 1 species
GCGGUUGUGGCUCAGUGGUAGAGCGCUUGCCUAGAAUGCAUGAGGCACUGAGUUUGAUCCUUAGAACCACA